CCCUACGGGGGGCAGCAGUGAGGAAUAUUGGUCAAUGGUCGGGAGACUGAACCAGCCAAGCCGCGUGAGGGAGGAAGGUACAGAGUAUCGUAAACCUCUUUUGUCAGGGAACAAAGGCGGGGACGUGUCCCCGGAUGAGUGUACCUGAAGAAAAAGCAUCGGCUAACUCCGUGCCAGCAGCCGCGGUAAUACGGAGGAUGCGAGCGUUAUCCGGAUUUAUUGGGUUUAAAGGGUGCGCAGGCGGUCUUUUAAGUCAGCGGUCAAAGCCCGGGGCUCAACCCCGGCCCGCCGUUGAAACUGGCAGG
rnacentral:rRNA from 1 species